rnacentral:rRNA from 1 species
UACGUAGGGUGCAAGCGUUAAUCGGAAUUACUGGGCGUAAAGCGUGCGCAGGCGGUUAUGCAAGACAGAUGUGAAAUCCCCGGGCUCAACCUGGGAACUGCAUUUGUGACUGCAUAGCUAGAGUACGGUAGAGGGGGAUGGAAUUCCGCGUGUAGCAGUGAAAUGCGUAGAUAUGCGGAGGAACACCGAUGGCGAAGGCAAUCCCCUGGACCUGUACUGACGCUCAUGC